AACGAACGCUGGCGGCAUGCCUAACACAUGCAAGUCGAACGAGACCGUCGGGCCUAGGGGCGCACGGGUGCGUAACGCGUGGGAAGCUGCCCGUAGGUUCGCAAUAACUCCCCGAGAGGUGUCCUAAUACCGGAUAAGGUCUUAGGGCCAAAGAUUUAUUGCUGGUGGUUGGGCCCGCGUUGGUUUGGCGGGUUGGUAGGGUAAAACCAUGCCAAGGCGACGUGCCAGAGCUGUUCCGUGCGGAUGAUUAGCCACACUGGAAAUGCGACACGGCCUCGAACGCGACGGGAGGCAGCAGUGGGGAAUAUUGGACACUGAGCCAAGGCCUGGUCCAGCAAUGCCGGGUAUGUGAGGAAGGCCUUAGGGUUGUAAAGCUCUUUUACCCGAGAUGAUAAUGACAGUACCGGGAGAAUAAGCUCCGGCUAACUACGUG
rnacentral:rRNA from 1 species